GGCGUAGUGCGGCAGACAUGUUUGACGGUCGUAAUCUUAAUCAAUAAUCAGUCAAUAGCUCGUAAUUUUCCACUUACAAUAAAUCUAUUAGAACAAAAGUGGUGGUCCUUCAAGCCUCAACCUAUCCAUAUAAAUGGUCGUUCGAGCCGGAUGGUCCAGCAAAACAACGAAGAGUUCGAGCACGUAAAAAGUCGCCGGCCGGAUAGCAACGUCGAGCAAAAACGCGUUUUGUUCCGCCAUUAAGACACCGAAAUAGUACGGGCAACUCAUCUCGAAGCAAUUUAACACGUUCUCAGACGAAAAAAACUCACAAACAAUCAGUUGAAACUCGAAAAAGAAUCCACUGGUAGCGUAGUUUCACGAAAAAUCGUAAAAUGUCGUAGCAGUCUACAGGGUAAAACAAAAAGAAGGUUAACGUGGGACAUGGCACAAAAAAGGUUGGAAACACUAGUUUAGAGAUGACGACAAUGCAUAACGGGGUGUAAUGUAGACUGGCCCACUGCAAUAAACGCCUUAGGUUAAAAUGCGGAAGAGACUAGAACGAGAGAACUGAGAAAGAAACGGAGCUAGGUGUGGCAGAAACGCAGUACCUAGACUCUUGUGAAUAUACAGAGAGUAACUAAAAAUUAUGGUUUUUGUUAGUUUCUGUCUAAUUCUAAUACUUACUUCAUUGUUAGUUGCAAAUAUGAUGAAUUCUUAUUG